UACGGAGGGAGCUAGCGUUGUUCGGAAUUACUGGGCGUAAGGCGCGCGUAGGCGGCUUUGUAAGUUAGAGGUGAAAGCCCGGGGCUCAACCCCGGAAUUGCCUUUAAGACUGCAUCGCUUGAAUCCGGGAGAGGUGAGUGGAAUUCCGAGUGUAGAGGUGAAAUUCGUAGAUAUUCGCAAGAACACCAGUGGCGAAGGCGGCUCACUGGCCCGGUACUGACGCUGAGGUGCGAAAGCGUGGGGAGCAAACAGG
rnacentral:rRNA from 1 species